rnacentral:rRNA from 1 species
AUACGUAGGUGACAAGCGUUAUCCGGAUUUACUGGGCGUAAAGGGCGUGUAGGCGGUCUUGCAAGUCAGAAGUGAAAUACCUGAGCUCAACUCGGGCGCUGCUUCUGAAACUGCAGGACUUGAGUGCUGGAGGGGAUAGCGGAAUUCCUAGUGGAGCGGUAAAAUGCGCAGAUAUUAGGAAGAACACCGGUGGCGAAGGCGGCUAUCUGGACAUUAACUGACGCGAAGGGGCGAAGGCGUGGGGAGAAAAAAGGUUUAGAACCCCUGUUAGUCCACGCCGUAAACGAUGAAUACUAGGUGUAGGGGGUAUCGACUCCCUCUGUGCCGCAGUUAACACAAUAAGUAUUCCGCCUGGGGAGUACGGCCGCAAGGUUGAAACUCAAAGGAAUUGACGGGG